rnacentral:rRNA from 1 species
GACGAGCGCUGGCGGCGUGCUUAACACAUGCAAGUCGAACGGAAAGGCCUCUUUCGGGGGGUACUCGAGUGGCGAACGGGUGAGUAACACGUGAGUAACCUGCCCUUGACUUUGGGAUAACUUCAGGAAACUGGGGCUAAUACCGGAUAGGAGCUCCUGCUGCAUGGUGGGGGUUGGAAAGUUUCGGCGGUUGGGGAUGGACUCGCGGCUUAUCAGCUUGUUGGUGGGGUAGUGGCUUACCAAGGCUUUGACGGGUAGCCGGCCUGAGAGGGUGACCGGCCACAUUGGGACUGAGAUACGGCCCAGACUCCUACGGGAGGCAGCAGUGGGGAAUAUUGCACAAUGGGUGGAAGCCUGAUGCAGCAACGCCGUGUGCGGGAUGACGGCCUUCGGGUUGUAAACCGCUUUCGCUCAUGACGAAGCUUUGUGUGACGGUAGUGGGUAAAGAAGCACCGGCUAACUACGU